rnacentral:lncRNA from 1 species
AUUGCAUAAUGCAGUAGCCACUGGAUUUGCAGCAGAAACACUCUGCUACAGAACAAGUGUCUUGGUUCACAGCAAAGAGGACAAAGAAAACAGCAAGUUUUAGGGGGUUGAAUCCUGGAUUCCCCUGGCAAACACCAUUCUACUUUCCGUCUCUAUGAAUUUGACUACUCGAAGUACCUCAUGUGAAAUGUUGGUGCCAAAUGAACUUUUCUGGUUCUUCUGAAUAUGCCACUGUUGCUGGAGAAAUGUCACUGCUAGAGAACAGAAGACUAUUAUUCCAAAGGGUAUUUGAGACUGACUGAAUCAGGUCUGGAACAUUAUUGAAAUGGUGGUGACCAGAUGGAUAUAAACGGGCUGUGGAAAAAGAGAAUGCAUGGCCAAAAAUGGUGGUGCUCUCUGUCCAAAAACUGAGGCCCUAUGACCAUGAAUGAAGCCAGAGGGCAGGUAGGAAUAGCACAAAUCUUCUCUAGAAUACAGAAAUAUUCUAGAGAUCACUGACGCAUUUGAGGGAAAUUGAAAACAAAACGAAACAGAACAAACAGAAG